rnacentral:rRNA from 1 species
AGGACGAACGCUGGCGGCGUGCUUAACACAUGCAAGUCGAGCGGAAAGGCCCUUCGGGGUACUCGAGCGGCGAACGGGUGAGUAACACGUGAGUAACCUGCCCCUAGCUCUGGGAUAGCUCCGGGAAACCGGGAUUAAUACCAGAUACGACCACUUUAGACAUCUGUCGUGGUGGAAAGGAUUCCGGCUAGGGAUGGGCUCGCGGCCUAUCAGCUUGUUGGUGGGGGUAACGGCCUACCAAGGCGACGACGGGUA